rnacentral:rRNA from 1 species
UACGUAGGUGGCAAGCGUUGUCCGGAUUUACUGGGCGUAAAGCGCGCGUAGGCGGCUUUGUAAGUUAGAGGUGAAAGCCCGGGGCUCAACCCCGGAACUGCCUUUAAAACUGCAUCGCUUGAAUCCGGGAGAGGUGAGUGGAAUUCCGAGUGUAGAGGUGAAAUUCGUAGAUAUUCGGCGGAACACCAGUGGCGAAGGCGACUCACUGGCCCGAUACUGACGCUGAGGCGCGAAAGCGUGGGGAGCAAACAGG